CCAGCGAGCUAUUGAUUUGAAAUACGAAACAUAUUAUUGAUACAAGAAAAACCCAGACAUAAGGAAGCAGUUUGAUAUUGCACAAUAUUUGAAAAAAAUCCGGUGCAUCUGUUUAGCACAAUAUACUGCAUAAUGACAGCAAUCUUCCCUGUUUGUAUCUAUUCAUCUGAUUAUACAGCAUAACAAUUCUUUUUGCUACACAUUUAUUUACUAAAGGAUUUUUUUUUAAUGGAUGAUAAAUUAGUAAAUCAGAUAUCAUGUGCUUGGGAAAAUACGUUAGUUGACUCCCUACACACAAGAUAGUUGCAGUUCGUAUUUUAUGUGAUAUUCAGUGAUACUUGUAUAUACAGAUUAAGUUAUGUGCUUCCUUUGUGGCGAAGACAAAGGAAGUUUUAAAUCACUAUUUAGUACUCUUUCAUCUGGGCACAUGUUAUUUUGAAAAGCUUCAGUUUUUAACACUGCAAUGCAGCACUGAUGUAAUGAAGAGCUUUGACUUACUUGAAGUAUAACCCAGUGGCCUUCUUUUGAUGCCUUUUCCAUAGCUAUUUCUGCUACAGCUUCCUGUCCUUGACCCAAUGAUACAUUGUGAAGUUCUCCUGAGUCAAUGGUAAAUUCAAACUUGUUCCCUAAACAGAACAAUAUACUGUACUACUUCGAGCCAAAUAAUGAAGUGUUCAAACAAGCAUGUGUUAUACACACAGUGUUUAAAGGGCACCACAUCACGUGAGUCACCAAAGUAAAAAACCAGCCCACAAAAAUAUAGUUUCAAUAGAUCAUCUGAGCUCAGAUAUUGUGUUGCUCUCUGGGUAGUAUUCCGUAUUAGCAAAAUGCUGCUGUCUAAAAGUGGAACAAUUGAUUCCUGCUAAUGGAUUCCUACCUAUUGCCUAUAUAAAUAUUUCAAUGAAUGCAGAAGUGGAUAUGUUAGAAAUGUAUCUAAACUAAAAAUAAGAAAUUAAAUUAAUGUCUCACUAAAGGCAGCAUUACACGCAGGCAGUAAAUACAAAGGACUCAACAGAAGUCCUCACACUGGCACUAGGAGGUAGUUUGGUCAGAGGAGGGUUGGUAAGUUUUCAGCGUAUCUAGGCAGUAGCGUCAAAUCCGUUGCUCAAGUAUCCUUAUACAAAGCUGAUGACUUGCACUAGUAAAAAUGCAGAAGAGCACACAGCUACCUCUUAUUUCAGAAAGCAGCCACCAUUCACCCAGGCAGCUGCCUGAGUCAAGCACUGUAACUUUCAUCAGAUAGUAUGUGUUCCAGAUGUAAUGCCGUCUGUGGGUUAACAUGUGCCAGCACUCGGCAGUCGUGGAAGGGCCUCAUUUAUUUCUCUGGUUGUGGUAGGUAGAAUAUCUAAGACCAGUGGUACUGCUAACUAAUUUGGUAAAAAAAUAUUUUAUUUCAUAGUAAAUGAUGUGUUUUCUUAUGAUUGUUAGUAAUAGGGUCUAGUCUGGACUGACGGGUCAGAAUCGACAAGAGGACCAGUCCAGGAGAUAAACACGACUGAGGAACAGCACUACCUUCUUUGAAAGUUUUUGUGGACAGUGGCCACAUUUUGUUCCAAGUUACAUUUGUGCAAAGUUCCCAUAAAUUAAGAAUUACAGUUGACAGAGCCUCGGGGAAAACAACAGGAUCCUGGUAAAACAUAGUAAAGGAUUUAAGGUUAUCGUCUGUCUCUCUCUAACUUCUGACAUCUCUUUAUAACAAGAAAGAGCCACAGCCAACUGUAACAGGAGGGCAACACAAUGAAUCCUGGUAAGACAGGGAAGGGGGGAGGUUCAACUUUGCUGCCCCUUUGCCCCUAUUUCUUCCUCACAGAACAGAAGUGCCAUCUGUUCCUAGUCCUAACAUGCAUGCAUUUGAUUUCCAUUCAGUAAUAACUAACACAGGAAAAAGAUUAUCAAGUGAUCUAAAGCACUAUCAACAUUAGCAAGUCUUCCCCAUCCAGUGUUUUGUUUGCACCUCCAAAGAUCAGCAGAUGAAAUGGAUAUGGGCAAGUGCCUUAAUUGCCUAGAAUUAUUCUAUUCUCUGGUAGAGGACCAUAUGGUCAAGGUGUGGAACAUGACCAGACUAAGGAUGUUUAGGUGCUUGGGUCAGAAAGAGAUUUAGAAAAAUCAGACAAGAGGACGGAUGUUUAGAUUCUCCAAGCUGAAUUCAGUGCACCGAUCUCUAUUACUUGGUGCUGUAAUACAUCAUUACAAUAAGGCAAAAUCAAGUCACAGUGUGUUGUGUGAGGCUAGACAGUCAGUAUUAACGUAUGAGCUUGUUUCAAAAGAAUCUGUAAAAAUGUUUCUUAGGCUUCACAGUCAAACUUUUCACAAAUAAAAAGCACAGCACCACCAAAACCACCAAACACCUUCCAGGCCAGCAAACUUGGUUAAAGAUUGUGCUGGUUUUGGUUGGGAUAGAGUUAAUUUUCUCCACAGUAGCUGGUACAGGCUGUGUUUUGGAUCUGUGCUGGAAACAGUGUUGAUAAUACAGAGAUGCUUUAGUAAUUGCUGAGCAGGGCUUACCCAGAGUCAAGGGCUUUUCUGCUCCUCACCCCACCCCACCAGCGAGCAGGCUGGGAGGGGACACAGCCGGGACAGCUGAACCCAGUGACCAAAGGGAUAUUCCAUACCAUAUGGCAUCGUGCUCAGCGUGUAAGCUAGGAGGAACGUUGGCCGCAGCUCAGGCACUCGCUGGACAUUGGUCGGUUAGUGGUGAGCAGUUGUUCUACAUUUGCAUCACUUGUCUGUCCUGCAUUUUAUUUCUUCUUUUUUUUUGUGUUUGUUUUUUAUUUGCCUUUUCAUUAAAAUGUAUUAUUAUUGUUGUUAUUAUUAUUUGAUUUUAUUUUAUUUACGUUAUUAAACUGUUCUUAACUUAACCCACAAGUUUUCUCACUUCUACCCUUCCAGUUCUUUUCCCCCCAUCCUGCUGGGGGGAGCGAGCGAGCAGCUGUGUGGUGCUUAGUUGCUGGAUGGGGGUAAACCACAACAAAGGUCCAAAAUACCAAUGAGACACUGCAGGUGCCGAAGACCCCGUGGGUCCCUCAGUUAUGCCCGGCCAUGCCUGAUGUCUUAUUGUUGAAAGUAAUGGGGUGCAGCACCAGAUGCCAGUGAAGGAAAGGUGCCUACGUGCUGUCUGCAAAGCAAGGUAACAAUUAAACAAUAGGUGCCGUGGGAUUUCUCUGUCCCAGCCCUUCAGGCUUUCCAGUGCUCUUUCCUUUUGCUGUCUAUACCUGAUUAUUUUAGCCGUCUCUCAUUUCUUCAUCUUCUCAUCUUUUCUCCCUUUGCUGCAGCUGCCUGCUUACCUUGUUACUUAAGGCACUUCUAUGGCCAGAAAUUGACCAUGUUGUCAGACCCCAGCUUUCCUCCCAGGGACUGGUGAAGGACCUCAAGCCUGAGAGGAGCAUGGCCAGAAGCAUUAUAAUGAAAAUUAUAAACCUUGUAAAAUGGCUCAAGAGGGCGAAGCCUAGAAAAUGGCUAGUAAGUAGCUUGUGCUUUCAACUAGCUUAUGUUGAGCAAGUCAAAUAUCGCUUAAACUGUAUCUGAAAUCUGAAGCUGAUCUGUCUGGGAAACCUACUGCUGUCUACAUUGUCAAAAUACAUGAGACAACAUUUCGUUUCUCCAAAUUUCCAUUAAUUUCAUUGCCUUCUUUUCUUUCUUUUCCUCCUACACCAGGAUGACACUUCUGAAGCACACUUUUAAGAGCAUAAUUUGAUCAAAUGAUCCAAGGGAGCUCCCUAUAGACAUCCAUGAUUUAUCUGUUCUAAAGGUUGGCGUGCAUGACACUAGCAAUUGGUUUAACCCCAGUUAAUUUUUAGAUAAUAAAUAUAUUGUGUUUUUUCCAGGUGAGGACUGUGUUUUGUUUACACAGCUCGCUCAGAAAUGUAUCAAAGGCAGGGCCCAGCCACGCGUGGUGGUGAACGUUCUGAGCAUCCCAACCUCAACCGGAGUGGAAGGUGCUUGGCGCCUCGCUGGAGUCAGCCAUUGUGCAUGUCCUUAUGCAAGGUGCUCGUUAGGUGACUUCCAGAUGACCUCACGGCGACGGGGCAGGAUUUCACUGCACAUGCACUGGAAGCCAAAGAAGCCUCUUUUAUUAGGUUAGUAUUUUCAUCCUAGUCCUGACUCACAUCUGUGCAGGCUUUGGGCUCCUCUGCUCUGUACCCAUUUAUCACUCUUUUCAAAGGGAAGAAGGAAACUCGUGGUACGGGUGCAAAACUUAGAAGAGAUCUGUGCCGAAUAAGAGCAAGAACACAGCUGCACAAGACUCAGCAUACUUCUCACAGGCAAAAUGCAGUGAAGGAAAAGAUGGCAUUUUAAGCUAAAUGAGACAUCAUUAUACAAUACUCUUUACAUUCAGCUCAUUCUAGGAAGAAUAUAUACAUGUGGCAGCAGCACCCGGGACAUGAAGAGCUACUUUGAAAGUAGAUGCGGUUCCCAGUGUUUGAGAUGAGGAUGGAUAGUGGAGAGAGAAAAUCGGCUGUCCCUGCAGAGGUGCCCCCAGCCACAGCAGCGUCUGUGAAGUCGUGCGUUUCUGUCCUUAACGGGAAAGCAGCCUGGCCUGGCUGAGAGCAAGUGCACUGUGUAGGAAGCGUUUCAGACAGCCAUUCAUUGCCUGAGGAGGAAGGUUCCAGUGGCCCAGCAGAGCUGGUUUGCAGCACAAACGACUCAAGCUACAGCAGAGAGACCCAGGCAGAAGUACACAGACCUAUCCCUAUUCCCUCCCAGUGUGGCGAAGCAGGAAGGCAUGCAAGUGAGACCUGAAAAUCAUUAGGCAAAGGGCUGUUCCAUGGCUGCAUGGCCACACGUACAGGUACACACACACGGAGUCAUAAAUGGGAGCUCAUGCAGGGCUCCUGCUGUACCAGGGAGGCUAACUGGGCUGUGCAAGUAAGCUUUUUCCUUCCAAACAGACCGAUGUAAAUGAUAGCUGAGGGUGUAUCACAGGCGGUCAGGUUCUUUACACUCAGCCUCACGUUGUCAGAGGGUUUUGCUCACUGCACUGCCCUGUGAAGUACAACAGUAAAAGCCUGUGACAGGAGAGAAAGAAAGUUGUAAGCCAGUGGUAGCACUAGAUUAAAACAGCAGCACGCAAACACACUGACCUCUUCCUGAGUGGUAACCUUGAGUGAGAGCUAAUUCACUGGAUUGAUUUUAUUCAGCUUGUCCAUGAGAAAAUAGAGCACAGCAGCACUGACUGCUACUGGCCAAAAGUGCUUGCGAGCUUCAGUGAUCUUUAUGGUGUUUAUUUCAGCUUCCAGGUCCUUAAAGAUAUUGGCAAAGUUAAGAUGUAGUAUUACACUCAAAAGUCUUAUUGGCAAAAGGCACAACAUAUAUGCAUCUAAGAAUGUAUUGUUAGUCCAAUUAAUGUUUUAAACAGUCUAAUAGUCAGUAUUACUUAAUACAGGAAAGCCUCAUUAGCACUAGAGUUAAAUUGCUACACAAAAUUUUCCCUGUUCUCUAGUGUUGUGCUUACUCCUCCAGUGCUCCUUUGGGGUCUUAAGAUUGACACUUUGGCAUUUCUCAAAAGGAAUGGGGGAGUAUUAUGAUGAGUCAUCACCAGGAGGAGUGUGAUACUCAUGGGAGGGGAUGUCUUCCUCCUCAGUCUGGUGUCUGCUUGGAUUUAGUUUUAUAUGUUUUCUUAACACUUAUCAGUUUACUGUGAUUAAAUGACUGAUUUGUGUCAUCUGUGUCUGUAUUCUUCCCUGUGACUUAUUCUAGAGCUAUAGGUAGUUCCAUCCACAAUGAAUAACAAUUUGUUAUUCCUAUAAAUCAGAGUUAAACUGAACUAAAUCUAGUGAAGAGUACCUCACAGCUGGACAAUUGCUAUCGCAGCUGAAACAAGUUAAUACCUAUUUAGCCCCAGACAAACCCAGGGAAUCGCUGACACUGUCAUGUGAAGACAAACCUUGUUACUUUUUAGUAAUAAUGGCAAAGUCACAUUUACUGGGCUAUAAAGUCCCUUUGGAUAGUCUGUAAAUUGCAGAGUUCAGCAAGGGUUUGCAAACCCUCCUAUGGCUGCAGAAUCAUGACUGAGCAGCAGAACUUGGAAGCAUUCACGCUUUCCUGUCUUGUCGUGAAUCAGGACAAUGUAUAUAGGUCUGAUUGACUCGGUUUUCUUCAUUGCCAUCAGGAGACCAGCUAACAAGAAGCAUCUGGUUUUCAUUGCCAAUAUGACUGUACAAUCAGCAAGAAUACUGUGAUUAUUAAAAUGAGAGCUAUAGGUUGUAGAGCUAAGUUAAAAAUUCCUGUAGCUGUAGGAGACAUAGUGUAACCUAUACGGGUAUAGUGUAAUUAAGAUCACAUGCUUGAAUCUAAGAUACGUCUCACUCACACACACACAAAAUCAGGCAGGUUUUACACGAGGUAAUGCACAACAAUUUCUGGAACUGGGUCUGUACACAAACACAACUAGAUCCCAUAUAUAUGAUUAGAGAUUGAUUAGAAACAGAAGGAGAAAUGUCAUAGUCACAUCUGGUUAACUUUUGAACUAAGCAAUCAUCUGAAGAGUAGAAACUAAUAUCUUCACAUAUCUAUUGCAUACUUCAAUGCUAUUUGCUGGCAUUCUUCUGAAAAGACUCACUGGAAUAUUCCAUUUUCUUUGACAGUCUGUGUUCACAGAUGCAGAUCUUUAAUAUCAGAAACACACACUUCCAAAAUUAUCUGAUCCGCUUCUCAGUAACAAAAAGAACUUUUCCAUCAGCUUGAUACAUAACUACCUAUCUUACAUAUAUGCAGUGUUUCCACCACGUGCUAGGUUCAAGAUGUUUUAAAAUACUUCCAAUACAAUAGUACACAAACGGUGCAUAGAUGUAAAAAAUACGAUUUUCCAUGGCAAAAAAAUUAUACCUUGUUGAUCCAUUGUUGCUUCUAUGUUUAAUAAGCACUCAAAAUUUCAACCAUACUUGUAAACAUAUGUAUAUUUUAGUGUUACAAGUGUAGGCAUUCGUAUCUUGGUGAUCUGUUGAGCAUGGUCACUCUCAACGAGAAGGAUGUACAGACCUCCCCAUCUGGGGGAACCUCACUUUGAGAGUGGCACAAGCUCCCAGGGUUCCUCCACCAAUAUUUCACCACCCUCAUAGUAGGAAUUUUUUCUGAUCCCUGCUCAGACUUCUCGUUGCCUCUUUCCUGCCCUUGUGCACCUCUGAGAAAAACCUGGCUCUGUCUUCUCUGUAGCCUCUUACAAAGUAUUUUUAGACAGCAAUAAAUCCCCCUACCCUCCUGGCCUUUUCAAGGCUGAAGAAUCGCAGCUCCCUCAGCCUCUCCUCGCAUGCUACCUGCUCCAGCCAGCACUGGAUUAGUGCCAGUAGGUUAAUGUCUUUCUUGUACUGUAGGAGAUAAUGGUAAUUAAAUUCAUACUUUUCAUUUAUAACAUCUAUUUUUGUUCAUAUAAUUACUGGUAGUGUAAGACUUUUAACUUGUUCUACAGCUGUACCCUCUUCUUGAGUUUUAUCCUGUUCAGUGUAAUUGGAUGUGCACCUACUUCAGCUUUCAGUUUCCCUCCUCUGAAGUCCAAAUUUCUCCUUGCACUGCCAGUUCUUCAGUUGCCUCUUUUGCCACUAAUCAGGCAGCCCAUGCUUCAGCACAUUAUAGGCCUUUCAAGAGAAAAAUGCAGGGUAUUUUGUUUUUUAAUUUUGCAAAAGCUUGUUCUGCUUCCUGGAUACAUCUAUAAGAAGCUGGAAUCCAAGGGUAUGGUCCCCUCUGAAGAGCUGAAUAACACACUGGCCUUGGACCAAUGAAGUUUAAUAAGGAGAAUACUUCUAAAGAAGAUCCACAAUUUGAAAAUUAGGAGAGUAGCAGAGCUCUUUCGAGUUUGCAGCAUUUCUGACAGCACUUGGCUCUGCCAUAUCCCAGUAUGGAGUGCUCCUGAGUUUCUUCUGCAGUCAACAAGACAGAGGAUAUGCAGGACUUAGCGGAAAGUAUUCUUCCUUUUGAAGGAUCAGGCUCUUGAAGAACCCCCUGCUGUUAGGAAUAUACCUCUUCAGGUACUUAAAAUUAUUUAAUUAGCAUUAUAAAUGUUAGUAAGAACACAGUUGACAAAUCAUUCUAUCAAAGGUAACGGAGCUGUAAUUGCAGAUGGCACAGAAUUUAGUACAAAAGAUGGUGUUUCCAGAAUUUGUUUUU